GCCGCCUACCUACUCGUGCUCGUAGCUCGAUCGGAGGUGAAGACUUUUGUCCGGCGGAAAAAGAGAAGUCGUCCGUCUCAAGUGAUACGUUAAUUGCUCAGUAGUGCUUCGCCACUACCGUAGCUGGCGGAAAUAGCUUAAUGGUAGAGCAUAGCCUUGCCAAGGCUGAGGUUGAGGGUUCAAGUCCCUCCUUCCGCUCUUGGCUUCGUCGUUUAGUGGUAACGAGUAGAGUAGGCAUCGCCUCUCGAUCCAAUCCGUCUUUCCCUGGCCUCCCCAACACACUCUUGAUACGAAAGAAACCUCCCGCCAAUCGGAAUCGGAUUCGG
rnacentral:tRNA from 1 species